GAGCAGGCAGAGAAAUAACACCUGUCAUAUUCCUCUAAAGAAGCUAAAUGCUUCCAGGCUUACCUGAGUAGGAAAGAUUUGACCCUGCAAUAAAUGAAAUUGCUGAGGGUUUUUUUAGUAUACUACAGCAGAGGCUGGUUGUCCUGAUCAAACUGGAGUUUCAGACAAGUGGUGACUCUGCUGCUCCCCUGAGAUGUGUGGCCCAGGGAGGCAGGGCUGUCUCAUCCUAUCCCAUCCUAAAUCUUCUAUUUUUGGCUGUUACAAACAGUGCCACCGUCCAUUUUGCUGUCUAGAAAAAGCCUCAGUUCUGAUUUAUCUGAUAUUAAGUAAUAAGCAAGUAUGGUGCAGCUGGAAAAAAAUUUGAUUAGCAAGAAUCCAAAAUGAGCUGAGCCCAUUAGUGCACUGAGAAAUAGUUUUUCCAGUUAUGAAAAUUUAAAUGCUGAAAACUAUGCUGGAGAGAGGAGGCAUGCUAUAAGUAUGAUGUUGGAUAGACUUAAAAAAAAAAAAGCAAUGCUGAGACAAUUUCCUCCUUGAAAAUAUUUUCAAAGCCUAGUACCUCCCGGAAGAAAGAGUUCCUAGAUGGGUUGGCACCAAUUUGGGGAUUUAGCUCUCUGUGAUCUUAAUAGUUUAACCUGUGGCAGGAAAAUAAGGGAAAAGUAAGAAGAUGAACACAAGACUCAGUGCAGGUAGGAAAUCCUGGCUGAGGGUGCAUGGCCAGAGCACCCCUGGAAAGGAAACCCAGGGCAAAGGCGUGGAGGCCACAAACGUUGGGCCAAGUGCGUGCUGCUGCUGCUGCUGCACAGUUGUCCUGAGCACAAAAACAUUUUCCCAAAGUUAUUCCAGAGCUGCCCACCGUUUCCCUUUCCCAUCAGAUUCACCUCAUUCCACCGCAGUGCCUAUGAGGCCACAACUCUUGUUUCUCCAGCAGCCAUAGUUAUUUACUGUCACGUGCAUGUCUUGAAAGAAAUGAGGAAAGAAAUGCAUCCCCAAAUGAAAACAUGGGGAUAAAUUUGGUGACAGUUGAAGUCAUUAUUGGGGAAUAAAAAGGAGAGACAUUUUUCUUUUUUCUUUCUGAAGCUUUGGCUCCCUUUUGGUUCUUCCAGUCCCUGACAAUGGUUUUGCACUUUUCAAUUCUCAAACAGUUGAAUUUUUGAUCUAAUUAUGGUGACGAUUGUGGUCACCUGCUGGCCAGCUGCACAAGCAAAGUAAUUGAGAAAAUGAACCUUUGGAUUCUUGGAGACUCCCACUUUAAAACAAAAAAGCAAUUUUUCUCCCCCAUGAGCAUCACCAGGGGGUGUUAAUGUGUCUCUUUGCAGGCUCCCAGGCCCACAGGUGAUGACCCUCUGCCUCCCUCUGUGAAAAUGUCCUUAAAAUUAUAUUUUAGUGAAAGCACCUGAGCCCUAGUGGGGCAAAGAGCAGUGCCAGGAGCCUGAACUCAGCCCCUGGGCCAAGAGAUAGAUGUGUUUGUCAGGGCUUGGGGCUGUGGAGAAAAACUAGCCUGACACUUGCUUAUAAAAUUAAAUUCUCAUUACAUUACAGCACUGUGAAACUCAGGAACCCCCAAACCACCAGACUCUUGGUACAUUCUUGACCAGCAGCCACCACUCUUGGUUGAACAAAUAUGGGAUAUGUGGGGAGGUAAUUUCAGGUUUAAUAAGGAAAUAAUUAUGAGACAUACAAAUUUAAAAAAGGAACUACAUAUUAUACACCCACUAAGCACAGGAAGAAUAUUAAGAAUUUAAAUACCAUGGCAGUACUCUGCCAGAUGUGUGUAGUCUGCAAUGUCUGAUUUUUAACUUGAUUCUUCCUGUGGAGAUUUACUGCUGAAGUAUGGAUAAGACAUUAAGUAAAAUAUUAACAGGCCAUUUUGAUAGUCAGGAGUACAAAACACUAAGCCCCAUCCCAACAGAGUGUCAAAGCCACACUACUAGGAUCCUUUUUCAGGUGUUUUCUUGUCACCUUAAGCCAGGUGGGUGGAGGGUAAGGAACCCUCCUACUAGUAAGUGUUAGGGAAGAAAUUGAUGGCCUUAAUUAAGAAUGACACUUUUUUACCUGCACAUUUGACUUUUUGUGAGCUCUUACAAGCAAGCCAGGGCUGGAAAUCCCUUUCUGCCACAGCUGGGAGGAUAACCCGGGAGAUGCAAAUGAGCCAGCAGCUGUUCCCGGGAGUUUUAGUUUCCCAGGCUUGGAGACAAGGAACCCUCCUUGCACGUGGUCAGGAGACUUGGCUUUAUAAACCAAACCAUUCCCUUCCUCAGUGGCAGGGCUGGGGGCAGAGCAGGGGAUUCAUCUCAGCUUCAUGAUAAUUUCUUGAUGAGAAUCUCCUUGGAAGCUGAGGAAACUGGAACGUCUUGGACUUGGCAUCUGACACCAAGAAUCUGCAAAUUUUAGAGGCUCUAUUGAGAGAACUCUUCAGGGGGACUGUAGCCUGGCAGGAUCUCUCUGUACCCCUGCUGCCCCCUGCCCCAGUGCUGUGACCAUGUUACAGUGGGAGCACAGACCUCUCUGGUGCCAAGGAUCUCUUAGCACCAUGCUCACACUCUGAGCUGGUGUAGCAUCCCCCGUCCUUUUUGUCUGAGAGCUGCAGCUGCCACGGGACUUGGAUUCAGAUGGCAGAAACAGGCAGGUACUCAUGGGAAAUGACACACUGUGCAUGACGGGAAUCGCGGAUCGCAGCGGACACUGCAGGAGAAGAGGUUGCUCCCGGCCCUGCUGUCCCCAGCGGAGGGAGGCCAUGGCACUACACCUGCAGCUCCCCUCCACGUGACAGCUCUCCCCUAAAACUCAGAGACCAACAGAGUGGUCCAGAAUUGGAUUGGAUUGGACCAGAAUUGACUUGAGUAAAGAGCUCAUGUUGACCUGAGGGGUUUUUUUCCUGCCAAGGAAGGUCUGAGGCUCCCACUGGACUUUGCUCACCUCCCAGUACAGAUUUAAGCUGGUGUCCCCUGGGAAUGGAAAUCAGCAGGAACUACUUGGUGUGAGUGACAGCCACCCAGAGGUGGGGGAUGUUUGCUGGAUUUUGGAUGUAAGCUCAGGCUCUGGAGGGGUAUUUGCAGGGAAGGAAAACAUCUUGGACUUGCCAGGUAAAUGCAAGCCCGAAGACAAGUCUGGAAAGCAUUUUAUGACCUUGUGUGAGGUUGGUCCUUCAGUGCUCCCAUGUGAGCUUUGCUCUCCUUGGCUCUUGGUCUGUGGGGUCAGUGGGACACUCAGGCUCUUGUGGUGCCAGGGAGCAGGAGAACAUUAUACACAUAUCCACGAGCAGCCAAAUCUUUAUUAAACCUCAAAAAGAUCAUUAAUCUCACCCAAAUAUUUGCUAUUUGUAAAGUUUAGGUAGGGGGUAGAUCCCCUCAGGUGUUUGGCGGCUAACACUUAUAAUUAAAACGAAUAACAGGAGCAACAAAGUGGAACUGCUGGUCAUAACUCCCUUGCCCCUCAGACUUUUUUUGAGUGCAUCCAGUUGGCCCCAAACCAAUACUAUUCCCCAGCAGAAACUUUCCAGCAUUUAUUCAUCACACACAGAGUUGACAAGUGCCUCCAAUUCUCUAGUUACUGAUGCACUAAUGAACAUCUGCUAGUCUUUCUUGCAAGUUCAAGGACUUGGGCAGGGAGUAGACUGGGGGCUGAAUUUCUCUGUGUGUCUGAAUAAGGUUAAAAGUGGAUUUUACAUGAGUGCAAAGCCUUACUCUGGGGUUCCUCAUGCUUCUCAAUGAAUGGCUUCCAAAGUCCGCUUUUGGCUGACAGCUGCUUCUGAGAAGUGGAGCUUUGAGAGAAGGAGUGAUUAUGUCUUGAACUAUCAGAAAAACAAGAAUUAGAGGUAAUUUUUACCUUGUAAGCAAGUUAAACUAUUCCAUGCAAUCUUUGCUGUUGCUAGUCCUGGAGAUCUUGAAAACUUCUGGCAACCAUGCAAGAUCUUGCUUUGCUACCUCUUGCUAGUGGGAAUGUAAAAAUUGCCCAACAAUAUAAGCAGUCAAACCAAUCAAUGGAUUCCACAAUGAGUAUUCUGAGAAACAGCUAACUACUUCUCCAAAACUUGGGUAUGUUUGCUUUGGAAAACCAUCUAGUAGCAAGGUCUGUCCUCUUAAACAAAAACUGCUCUAGAGCUUCUGCACUGUCACUUUAGUCCUGUCACUGUUUUAUUCUGGAUGUUGCGUACAGGAAGAAAAUUCAGCUUUGACUUUACCCAUUGUAUUAACAGCAGGUACAAAUUGCGGUGGCAUUUAACUCAGUCUUCUAGAAAGUCAUUUGUUUGUGUUUAAUGAUUCCUGUCUUCCUUACACCAGCCUUUUAACUCUCUCAUUCUGUGCCUUGUCACCCAUUACCACCCAGCAUGUUGUUUUCCAGUGUGCAACUGGGAUGUGGAAACAGCUGGAAAUAGGGAACCCAGCUCAAAGGAGUGUGUGCUCCCUGGUGGGUGUUGCUCAGCCAUGCAAGGAAGCCUAAGAGCUCUGAAAAAUAAGAAAGGUACAUGUGAAAGCUGAUGCAUAUAAUCACUGGGGCAUCUCCUUUAGGAGGUCACUGUCAGCACUUUUCUUGGAGGCUGGAGCUGUCUGGAGGUGGCUGGUUACAGGGGCCUGUGCAGGGCAGUGGUGUCGGUACGAACCGCUGUGCAGCACACAAAUCAUUUCUGAUGAAAAUUAAAUACCCAAAAAAGAAAUUCCACUACCAAUGGAGUGAGAAAAUCAUGCACAAAUGACUAAUAAAUAGCACCGCAAUCUCUCCUUAAGCUGUGAUUUAUCUGUCUGGAGACUUAUUAAAGAAAUGUUCCUGCUGUUUGCACAGCUUUUAUGACGGUGCUGCUUUUUGACCCUCUUGAGUGUCAAAGCCUCUUUCCCUGCUCUGGCAGUCCCAGCAAAGGCCCCACAGGUCCCCUCCACUAUGCAAUGCCUGUGAGCAAGUGCACCCACACCCUGGUGCCCUGGCCCUGCUCUCCCCCAGCCUCACACGGUUGUUCUGUGCUGCAGUGUGAUGUCCUUCUUGGGGUCUGUGCCAGUGAAGGAGCUUUCGGUGUUUCAUCUCCUCCUGAUAAAGCACAGGACUUAAGGGAAUGGCAGGAAGGUGAGGGAGGUUUAGGCUGGAUAUUAGGAAAAGGUUCUUCACCCAGAGGGUGUUUGGGUGCUGGAACAGGCUCCCCAGAGAAGUUGCCACAGCACCAAGCCUGGCAGAGCUCAAGAAGUGUUUGGACAAUGCUCUCAGGCACAUGGUGGAAUUCUUGGGAUGUCCUGUGCAGGACCAGGAGUUGGACUCAAUCCUGAUGUAUGCCUUCUAACUCAGCAUAUUCUAAGAUUCUAUGAUUCUAUGAUUCUCCUUUCCAGGGUUGUAGCAUCACUGCUGUGGGGAGCAGCUCAUGUAAGACCUUCCUCCUUCUCCCAGGCAAAACUCAUGCAAGUCUGUUUGGACCAGUAACUUUUGGAAUGUGAGUGGAUCAGGCUGUUUCGGGCAAAGCUGUGGGAGCAGUAGCCUGGCUGCUCCUGCCCUCUUGUCUGUCAAAGGCUUUCUCUGUACUCUGCAGUGCACUCAGAAACACUGAGCAAAGGCCAGAUAGAGGAAAAUCUCAAACACAUGACUUUAAAAAUAAAUGCUUUUUUCUUUCUUUUAGCUAAAAUGUGCACUUUGCAUAGCUGACUCAUGAGUUCCAGCACAUUUGGGGUCAGCAAUACUUUGAGGUGCCAGUGUCUUGCUGACAUUAUUGGAUAAUGGGGCAACAAACCCCUACAUGUCUUUUUGAUGUGUGGGACAUGACAGAAGCAGCUAAAGCUAUUCUGACUCAGCCCUCAAGCGUUUCUGACAUCAAAGUGUAGACAUAGGCAGUACUGAAUGGUCAGGAGUUUGUGUUGAAUCUUUUCUCACUUCUGUCUGGGGAAAAAAUCUUUAGCUGCAAAUGAGGUUGACUUUCACUCUGACAGUAGUUCACCCAGUAGAAUAUAUAGUAUUAUGUGACAUGUAAAAUUGAGGUAUGAUAUAAUUUAUAGGUUCCUUCCCUCUUUCUGAGAUGCACAUCCAAUGCACAUAACCCACUUUUAAUAAUUAAAACAGUGAAGUAUUUAAAAAAUCUCAGAUCUCAGAGUGGGAGAUGGGAGGGAGAAAAAGGCAUGUGAGGUCUCAGCUUUCAGUGCCCUUUGCAGUGCAGCACAGGGAAUAUUUGCACUCAGGUACGUGUUGUCCCUGAUCCAUUGAUCAGAAUUGUCUCCAGCCUCCAGCCCCUUGCAUGGCACCAGCUGAAUAAGCAAGUCCAGCUCCACCUUCCUCCUCUCUCCCAUGGCUGAAGGACCUUCCCAGGAACCUGUCAUAGAAGUUAAGUUGGCUUCCCAGAUGUUCCCAGGUCUGCACACAAAAGCCACACUCCACGUUGGACCGUCACAUUCCUGACUGCAGCAUCUGUUCCAUUCUGAAAACUGAAGCUGUUUUUACUUUAUAUGAUGGAGUUAAUUACAAAGCAAUUAAUUGACUGAGUUAUUCAUGAGAGGUUUUGGUCAUCCUGUGCAUGAUGGAACUUUGAGUUCCUUUUAUUUUUCUUUCAUGUCACAGCCAGGACAAUCACAGAAAAUCUAAUGGCAGCAUCUGUUUGCCCAGGAAGGUGGGCAAGGUUGACCUCUUUCCAUUUCUUUGCUUUGAGGGGACUUUGGUGAUCCACAGUCAAUAUGUUGGUCCCUGUGGAUGGUGAAUCUGACCUGCACUGCAGGCACUAAAUUUGGCACUGGCAUCCCUGCAUGUGGGCACUCAGGCAAUGUGUGCAUGGAGGAAGUGUGUGCAGCUGCUGAGGUUUUGAAACCUUUUUGCAAGGAUUAAGAGACACAGGUUGCUGCUUUUUUGGCCUAAGAGGAGGAAACAUUACUUUACUGUAAACAGAUGUUAAAUAAGGAUGGCCAAACCCUGCAUCCAGCAGUGACUCUCCUGCAUUGCCACAGGUCAAGGGCAGGGUGUCGAUUUGAAGGUGGAUGUUUCCUAAUGUGCAGUCGUUGGUAACCUAAAGCAGGUUUAUGACAGAGCCAAGAUCAGGCAUUAAUGCAAUAGACUGGUAAUUCAAUCACUUUAUAGAAGUUGAUCUGUCCUUUUUAUUACAAUUAUUGUCAGCCCGGGUGUUUCGUUCCAUCACUGAAAAUAAACAUCAUUUAUCAUACUUGUAAAGAUUAGCCCCUGACAGCUCCAGCUCUGCUUUGCAUAAAUGUGUAUUAAUGUCGGCUCUGUCUGAAGUGGAGAGAGAAGUCUAUAUUUCACAAGAAUGAUUAGACAGUGUCACCACUGCUUUAAGUAAUGUCUUAUCGUGACGGAUAAUCAAACUGUGAAAAAAACCAACAAAAAAUGGCAAUUUGUUGCAUAUACAUUUUUUGCUUUAUUGGGCUGAGAAAUAGCAAUAUUUUUGCUACUGCCUUUUUGAGGUUUGUGAUGUCCAGGCUCUGGGAUGCUGAUACUUCUCUGGGUUUCAGGGGGCACAUGAUGUUUCAGCUCAUCGGCAGAGCUGGGACCUCUGUGCAAGGCUGCCUUGAGUCUUCCUGUUUGAACACCCAGGAGUCUACAACAUUGCCAGGCUUUCAACAGUCUGCACCUUGGGAUGAGUGAAAUUUGGAAAGUUUCAAGCUAAAAUGAUGAUGACAAUGGUCAGAGUGAGAUUAAGGGAAAAUAUGAUGCCCAGGCUAAAAUAUUCUUGGAGACAUUUUCCAGAGAAGCUCUAGGGCUCCAGGGCCUUGAAGCAAGAACUCAACAGUUGGCAUGCGCCUGCCCUCAGGUCAGGGCUGCACUUUUGCUGCUCCUGUCAAAAUGCACCCACAUUAAUUGCAGGAAAAAAAGAACUGUUUGUCAGUGUGUACUUUAGAGACACUAGAGCUCAACAGCCGAACUCUGUGUGUUUGAGGGCUCAGCUAACAAGAGGGAAGGAACCCAGUUCGGUGACUGUGUCUCCUGGCAGUCACCAUGGAAGAUGUCUCUCUGGCAUCCAGAAUGAAGAACAGCUAAAGACGUGAGCUGAAGUCUCACUCUUUGCCAUGGCAAUGCCAAGAAUGUUCCCUUGUCACCCGAACCAUUCACUCUCUGAGAGGGAAAUGCACCUGGGCACCGAUGUCCAUCACACACUGACUGAAGUCAGCUCUCUGCUGCAGUGCACAAAAACAGCUCUGCAACUUCUGUGAAGAGCAUCACAGCUGAAGCAAAGUCCUUAUCAUCAGUAUCAGGGUUGGUACUGGGACUAUUUAGUCAGUUUUAGAAACUGAAGAAGGGAAACCAAACCCAACCCCAAGUAUGUUUCCAGGAGCCACUUUUGUUUUGCUGAGGUUUGAGUAGUGCACUGAAAAGCCUAUGACUUCUGGGCAUUACACCUGGGUUUUGUGAAAGCCCCAGGCUGUGGAGUAAGGGUACUUUUGUGAGAGUAUCUGCUUCCAUUCUUGCUGUUUUAAAAAAAAAUGUCCAAAGUUUGUGCCUUUAUGGGAAAAAAAAAGCACACAGCAACUUGGAGGCAUGUAUCCUCAAAAGAAAAUGUCAAAUAAAACCUUUUCUUUAUAAUCUUAUAAUUUCUAAGCCAGCCACCUUAUUUUGAGAUGCUUGUGUUUGAGAUCAGUGUUAAUUGAAGAUGACACCUUAAAAUUAACCCACUGCAGAGGUGUGUCAUUGAAUCAGAUCCUAAAGGAGCAGUAAUACAUUAAGUACCAUAUAUGAAAAUAAAUAAACCUCUUCCCUGCAUAACUAAUAGCUACUUCUACUAUUAAAGCUGAAGUAUUUAAAACACUGGAACUAUCCUGAGUGUUUAUACUGCUAUUUUUUUUCCCUUUUUUUAAUGACAGCCCCAGUUUAUUCCCUUUCAGACUAUAGUUGCCUCCAGUUUUACCUUGUUUGCUCUGAUUUGGUGCUGGUGGUGAUAGAAAAACCACUGUGGCACAGCUUUCCCUUUGCUAAAGAACCUGAAACUGCAACUUCACUCUGGAAUAAAACUUAAAAAAAAGAAGAAGCAAAAGUGAUGCAGGUGAAGGAGCCAGUUGGUGGUGGUGGAGGGAAGGAGUGGGUGAGGAUGGCACUGGGACCAUUAGCGAUUGAGGAAAUGCUGAUUUUAGCCAGUGGUAUUAGCAGCUGGCACUUUUUAAAGUGCUAAAAGCUUUGGACACAGAUUACCAUGCGCAUAUUUCAAUUUCCUUUAAAUCCAGGGAGAUUUCCUCUUAAAGCACACUCUCUCUCUCUGACUCUCUUUUUAUUUUUUAUUCAGCUAGAUUGUGCUUGAUGGGGACUGUUAACUGAAUGCAGCAUAUUAUAUAUUACUUCAAUAAAUCACCAACAGCCGAAGCAUUCAAUAUCAUGCAGAGCAGUAAUCAGGGGAAGUCUUAAUCACACUUUAAAUGGUUUGGAUUUAUGCUCUGCUUUCCACAGGCUACUGGCACUGCUGGAAAGGCACAGAGGCACGGCUCCGUGGUGGCCCGCCAGGACCUGGUCCAGCCGGUGCCAGGGGCUGGGAGCACAGCCAGGAUGCAGGGUAUGUGCCAGGGGUGCAGUGCUCGGGUCAGCAAGGACGAGCAGCCUCCAGGGCUACUCCUGGAGCUGUUUGUACCUGUGCAAUGGUCUCUUUAGAUUGCCUGGGCAUUUUGGUGUAAAAAGACUGUCAAUGUAAACAGCUGCCGUUAUUGCACCAAGGUUUUACAGAUGUGUGGCAAAUCCUGGCUUUGUUUUGACUGAAAAAAUGUAUUUUGACAUAGAAUGUAUUUUAAAAUAAAUCAUCAGAUAAGAGCAAAACCAGCUGCUAUAUUCCUUUGCCUUUUGUAUUAUGUCCAGGAGAUUAGAAACGCCUCCUGGAUUUUUGUCAGGGAGGGGGAGAAUUAAAGAGGAAGGGCUGGCUUAAAAAAACUAAACAAGCCACAAACCCCCUUAAAUAUAAUCUUUAAUUUAUGACUGGUGAUCCCCCAAGGCUUUCCAUGAAAGUAAAAUGUUCCAGCCAGGGGCUGUGGGCGUGAGGUCCAUGUGGGUCUCACGGAGGUGAGUGCCAAGUGUGAGCCCACCGGCAGCCGCCGGCGGAGGAUGAGAACCUUCCUUCCCUGCACCGUCACGCCCGACCUUCACCUUCACCCUUGCAACGAUAUACAGAUGUGCAGUGACGUCACCUGUCCUGGCCAAAGGGAGAAAUCAGCAGAAAACAAUAGCCCCUUUUGGGGGGAAGUUAAUAAUUUUGGUUGACCCUGUGGCCUGGAGCGCGGCACAGACGUGAGCGCGGUCACCGACUGUUGGCACUCGCUGGGGAUGGGGACACGGCGCUCCGGGUGGGAGGUUAACAGGCUUGUUAAGCACAUCUGGCCAGAAGAGCCCUGGGCACACUGUGAGCUGCUUUCCCAGUUCAGAAAUACUUUGUAGGCCCCCUCAGCUGGAGAGAGUGAGUCUCCCUUCCACCCCGGCGUUAAAAGUGGUCACACUGCCUCCACCAUAAAUUACUGUGCCAGCAGUGGAAAUACAAACGAGACCCAAGCGGAGCAGAGACGCAACAGCUGAGAUGGUUAAACAAUAGCCCUGCACACAGGAAACUCCCCCAUAAUGGUGGAUUUAAGUUCCAGGGAGUUUGGUAUCUGACGGUCGGGUUCAUCCUCCCCACCCCCUGUUUUGUUUUUCAUUCGAUCCCAUGUUGUUCGUGUCUCUUAAUAGGGCAUCCUUCAUUAUCAUUAUCCCUAAUAGUGGUUUAUUGUAUUAGUUACAGUUAAUUUAAAUGUUACCGAGGCAUUGAAAACAGAUUGCAGAUGUUUUGAAACAGAUGUUGUUUUAAUGUUAAAACAAAAUCAUGAAUAUUUAUGGGUCAUUAUUGCCUGGGUUGAAUUAAGCUCUUUAAAUAGUAAUGUAUGGGCUUAAUGUCUUUUGAAGGAAAUGCUCCAAAAAAAGGUGAAUGGAAAAACACUGUCAUGUAAAGAUGUAUAAAUAAUUUCUUCUGGCAACACUGUGUUUUUCCUCUAUGAACGGUCAGAAUUAAUUACUGUUAUAUUACUAAACCAGGUACUGUUCUUGUUCUCUAGCUGAAGUUAACCUAAGAAAAUUUUUUGAGCUCACAAACACCUACAGAGCUCUCUAUUUUGUAGUGAAGGGGCCCACCUGCUCCCUGAAAGCAGACCUAAAGUUGCAGGAAUAUUCUGAGUGGAGUCAAAGGUUUUAAAGGAAAAUAAGGUGAAGAUGACGCAAGCACACAACUCACUUGGUGUCAGUCUUUCCUACAGAAACACAAAGAGGGUUUGUUAAUGCCACAUGCAGGCUGUCUCUGCCUGAGUCAUAUUUCUUUCUUUAUGGAGAUGGAGUUAGUCUUCAAGGCAGCAGCUCAAAAUGGUCUUUCAUUCAUUACAAAGUUAUUUAGUUACGGGUAGGUAACUCUGAAUGGCAUUUCUACAUCUUGCACUUUAUUAGUUGAUCCUAGCUGCUAAAUGACGUGGAGAGAUCAGCAUAUUACGGCAGGGGAGUUCAGUUGUUUUGGCCAGUCUGAGAUUGGGUCUAACAUGCUAGAGUUGAAAAUUUGCCUUUGAGAUGAAGAACUCAAGGGAUGUUGAUAAUGAUUAACUCAAGAGGAAGGGGGGUGAGAUAAUACAGUGGAAAUUUAAAAAUAAGAAGUCUGUAAACACAGGGAUGAUUUCCUCCUCCACAGACAAGCAACACUUCCACUGCCUUAGGAUGAGUCAUGCCCUAUUUAGAAGAGGAACAGCCCAAGCAUUUGUUUGUCAGCACUGAGUCUGGUUGAUGCUGGGAUAGGAACGGUGUCGGCAAGGGGGCAUGCAGCCACAACCCAUCUUUGCUUGUGUCCACUGGGACUAUGUGCUCUAACCUGCAGCAUUGAGUCUUUGUGUAUUUGUCCUUUUUUAUUUUUUCCUUUCUCCCUCUCCAAAUGUAUACUUUGGAGGAAAGCCCGAGUUCUCUUGAAGCUGGCAGAACUCCUUGUCUCCAGUCACAAAACCCCUGAGCAGAUGGGCACAGGUUUUGGCUAACCACAGUGGCAGUUGUUGAGCAUUAAGGUCUGUAAUCUCAUCCAGGAGCAUCUGAGCAUUCCCCUUCUCCCUCGGCCAAGGGCAGUGAGUGUCUCCCGUGAUGCUCAGGCUGAUGUCCAGCACAGGAAUCUCACUGCUGCCACAGAGCAGGGGUUUGCCCCAGGGCCUCAGGACUGCAUGGCCAGGAAAGCAAGCAGGGCUGUACCAGCCUUUCAGCUCCCAGUGUGAUGUAGGUAUUGGAGUCACAGGAGAAGUGCUGAAGAGCUGCACGUUGCAUCUUACUACUGACCUGAGUAGAGGCAAAGGACAGAUGUGAUUGGAAACAUCAGACUUUGUUUACUUUUCUGGGAAUUGCUCAGGCAAGUUUUAUAUUUCUAAUCUCUUGAUUUAAAAGCCAUACUGAGAAAUCACAUACAUCCAACUGAAGAGGCAACUUCAAUGGCUUGGACUUGCAGUUUCACUGCUUCCAUGUCCUGAGUAAAGUCUAGUACAGUACAUUAUAUUCAGUAGACUGCCAGAAAGGGAGUUCAUUUAGUUUGAUGACAGAUUAAUACUGAUUCACAAAUUAAUUUUGUCUCUUUGUAUAUCAAGGGUGUCCGCAACUUAUUUAAUUUGUAAUAAAUAUAAUUAUAGAAAUGAAUGAGCUAUCAAGAUUUUUAAAGUAUGAUCCAUCAAUGUUGGCAUGACUUGUAAUCCUGGUCAUUAUAAAUAAAAUGGGUCUUUUGCAAUAUGGAAUGCAAUUUUCCCUGUAGUUUGCCUCAUUAUUUUCUGACAUGUGGGUUAAUAUUAAAUUACAAUGCCUUAAUUUUCAAAUCAGGGCUCAAUUUGUAAAUAAGAGGUUAAUAAAUAACCUUUCCAGCUGGAGGCCUUAUUGUGACUUCAUUAAAAUAAACUUUUAAAUGUGAUGAAGCCUUGAUGAUACCCCCAUUGUCUCAUCCAGUACAUUGCAAAACAAAAAAAAUCAUCUCCUAUGGCUGCCAAAAAAACCUACCCAAAGUCACAGUGCCUGCAAUACAUUCCAGUGGUCUUUUAAAUGUCCCAUUUUACUGGGCCACACUCUGCCUUGCUCCAUCUCCUGCUCCCAUGGAGCACGUGUGAGCUGUCCUCCUUAGUGUGACCCUGAGCACACGGUGAAGGCUGCAGGUGGUUGGUGUCACACAUCUCAGUGGUCCUGCAGUGCCUGCUGCUUGUCAGUCCUGUCACGGAGCUCAGACCUACUCCUGCUUCUUUGUCUGCUUUUUGCUGCAUUUUUGCGAGGUUUAGAUAGGAUAUUGGGAAAAAUUUCUUCACUGAAAGGGUUGUGAAGCAUUGGAAUAGGCUUCCCAGGGGAGUGGUGGAAUCACCAUCCCUGGAAAUGUUCAAAGAAAGUGUAGAUUUGGUACUUUGGGACAGGGUUAGGUGGUGAAUUUGGCCGUGUUGGUUUUAUGGUUGGACCAUAUGGUCUUUGAGGUCUUUUCCAGCCUAAAUGAUUCUGUGAUUCUCUAAUGCUCAUGGUCGUGUCUCUCAUUAUCACUUGCAGUGAAAAAUAAAAGAUUUUUCUGAACAUUUUUCACAGGAAUCUCAUGUUCUAAAUUUCUGCAGCUGCAGAGAUGGAAGGAAAGCUCUGACUUCUCCAUUGAAGGUGCACACCUGUGACUGGCAAUGUUUGGGGCCCUGGAUCUAAACUAAGCUGGUUUGUUCUUUUCCCAUUGCAGAUUUCCAGCUUGCACAAAGGCUAUUUUUCUUGUAAAGGGGGAGUUUCCCCUGAGAGAAAAGUUAUAUAUGCAAGUUUAUAAAAAAAAAAAAAACCAAACACACAGCCCCAAAACAAGAACUCCAAGAUAUGGUAGGAAAACUCAAAAAAUCAGCCCAUUUAAAGGAAGCAGCAGGUUGCUCUGUGAGACAAAGUCUGAACUAGUUUUGCCCAUGAGUGCUGUUGCUCUGUGCUUUAACUGUGAGAAGUGGUAGGUUCAAAAUUUGUUGUCUUAAGACAAAACCAAUGACCAAAAAAUCCCAGGUCAUUUGAGGAUUUGUUUCCCCUAAUUUGAGUAGUUUUCAUUUACUCUAAUAGAGAACACUGAUGCAUGCACACAAGACCUAGUUUACAAUUGCAGUCCCCUGGUUCUCCUGCUAUUUUUAUUCAAAAAGUGUCUUUUAUUUUUCAGUAGUACUAAAGGUACUUACUGCAAUACUGAAAUAUCUUAAAAUAGUAAACCAUAUCCUAUCAUUGAGGUUUAUUCUAAGGGGAGAAAAUACCGGUGUUUGUUCACAGUUGUGCUCACAAAAAAGCCACUUCUGAGCCCUGCUGAAUCUGUUGGAACAUCUGUGGGCCAGUGCUUUGCCUGAAGCACUUUGUCAGCACUUAAAUAUGGGCUGGGAAAGAGGUUUUACCUAAACUAUUUUAUGUGAUGUCCAGAAUAAUUUUGAACACCACUAAAAAUGUGGGUUUUCUUGUUAAAAGGAGGGAUGAUGCUAAUCUAAAAGGCCCUCAGCCCCUUAGCCCCUUACUUUAUUCUACCUUUUUCUUUUGUGAGAUCUGCUCAAUUCCAACUUCCUGCAAGUGAAACAACUCUGUACAAAGAUCACGAGUGGAAAACAACUCCAUGUGAGCUCCUUAGAGACUUAACUUUUUCUGGUACUGAUUCACCUAUGAUGAAACCAGCCCAUGUCUCUGCAUAAUAAAUCUUUCUUUAAAAAAAAAAAAAAAAAAAAAAAAAAAAAAAAAAAAAAGAAAAAGAAAAAGUAAA